rnacentral:tRNA from 1 species
GAUGAUGUCGCCAAGUGGUCUAAGGCAGCAGACUGCAACUCUGUCACCGUGAGUCCGAAUCUCACCAUCAUCU